GUGAAUCAUCAAAUUUUUGAACGCAAAUCGCACUCUCUGGGAUUCAGGAGAGGAUGCCUGUUGUAGGGUCAGUUUAAAUAAAAAUCGGUGUGGUUACUGCCUUUCGGUGUUACGCACCGGAUCUGGUUCGUCUUGCUUUCGGUUAAUGGUCCUAAAAUUUUGCAUGAUUUUUUCGAACGUAUUUAAAUUAUUUUACGUACGUUUUCUAUAUCGAAUACUAGGUUUGGUCAUCCUC
rnacentral:misc_RNA from 1 species